rnacentral:lncRNA from 1 species
UUCUGAGUUCUCCAUUCUAUUUCAUUUUAUAUGUCUACCUUUAUGUCAGUACCACACUGUUUUGAUUAUUGUAAUUUUGUAAUUAAGUCAUUUAUUCUAACAGACUUUUUUAUUGUGUGUGGAAUCCUUAGCGUUUUCCAAACAUAAGAUUAUAUUACUUGCAAAAAGAAAUGUUUACUUUUUUCUUUACAGUUUGAAUACCUUUGAUUUCUUUUUCUUGCCUAAUUGCUCUGGCUAGAACUUCCAGUUCCAUGUUGAAUUGAAGUGAUGAAAAUGGGCAUCCUUCCCUUGUUCUUGAUAUUAGAGGGGAAGAUUUUAAUCUUUCACCAUUGAGUAUGAUGUUCACUGGGGUUUUUCACAUGUGGCUUUUAUUGUGUUGAGGUGAUUUCCUUCUACUACUAGUUUGUUGAGUGUUUAUCAUGAAAGGGUGUUGAGUUUUGUCAAAUGCUCUUUCACCAUCAAUUAAGAUGGUUAUGUUUUUUUCCCUUUAUUCUGUAAAUGUGGUAUAUUACAUUGAUUGAUUUUUAUAUGUUGAACCAUCUUGGCAUUCUAGGAAUAAAUCCCACUUGGUCAUGGUGUAUAAUCUUUUUACUAUGCUGAAUUCAGUUUGCUUGUAUUUUGUUGAGGAUUUUUGCAUCAAUGUUCAUAAGAAAUAUUGAUCUAUAAUUUUCUUUUCUGUAGUGUCUUUGUCUGGCUUCCGUAUCAGGAUAAUGCUGAUCUUGUAUAAAUAAGUUAGUAAAUGUUUCCUCUUCUUCAGUUAUUUAGAAAAGUUUGAGAAGGAUUGGUAUUUGUUCUUUAAAUGUUUGGUAGAACUCACCAGUGAAGCAAUCAGGCCCAGGACUUUUCACAGCUGCAUGUUUUAACCUUUAAAUUAAAGUGAAAAAAUCCUGCAAAGUUUCUUUAUAUGGUAUGGUAGUCACUUGACAUGGUCACUAGUAUUCCAAAUCUCCUCCCUCUGGGUCCAUGGGCACUUCUUUGCCCAUUGUGACCACGUGACUUGUUUUUCCAGAUGAAAUGUGAGUGGAGGGGAUAUGUGUCACCUUUAAGGGGAAGUCUUAAGACCCAAUGCAGAAUUCUACAAUCUCCAUUCUGCCUACCAUGGUGACCUGCAAAGUUCCAGAUUUCUGAUCUCUUUCAAUCUGCAUUCCUGAAUAAGGACAUGACACGGAGCAGUGACCCUGCUGACCUGUGAUGAACAUGUACCCACGAGUGAGAAAUAAACCCUUGUUGUUUUAAGCCAUUCUGUUUUGGGGAUGUUUGUUACUACAACAUAACCAAACUAAAAUACCUCACCUAUGGAUAAUGAGUGGUAACAUGUCAGGCAAAUUCCUCUUCUAUACCGGGUGCAGUCAUCUUUAGCUUGUCAGUUAUUGUCACAACUUGUUGGGAAGAUCAUCAGCUUAGCCACAUAGAGUUGCCUAAAUAUUUGAGCAGAAACCCCAGCCCUUCUGCAGGGUCUCACGUGAACAUCCUACCAGAUGUGGGGAUAUCAAGGUAAAAGACAGGGCAAUUCAUAUAAUAAUACCAACAGCAUACACUAUGUGCCAGGCACAGUUCUAAGCACUUUACAUGUCUUAGGAAAAGGUUUUUCGUAUCCUUAUUUUAGAGAUGAGGAAAACUUAAACACUUAGGUAACUUGCCUGGGGUCACACAACCAGUAAAGAAUGGAGCUAGAUUCAAACCCAAGCAGGCUGGCUGCAGUAGCCAGAAUGACCCAAUCGUAGUUCACAGUAGUAUUCACUCAAGGGAUUCAGUAGGAUCCAUAAUGAUUCAUAGGACAGAAUGCAUAUCUCAACAAAACAUAUGUUUGUUUUGUGUUGUCUGAAGGUUGUAGAUGAAGUACCUGGCAAGCAUGUCAGAAUUCUGAGCUGCCACUGGAUGAGAAACUUCCAUGUCAGAGAAUCCUUUCUCCUUCCUACAUGGAGAGGUGGUGAGUUAGUGAGUACAAUAAGAGAUAGUGCUUAUACGUAGAUGAGUUAUUAGAAAAUCUUUAUGGAGCACACGCUAUGUGUGGAGCAUGUGCCAGUAACAAGACAAGGAUGAUUGUCUUUGUGUCUCUGAGAAUCCAGCAGACCUCUAGGGAGAAGAAGGAGAGUUCACUUCAAUGAGCCCAGAGUCCCUCACUCUCCUGGCUUUUUGGAGACUGCCUGCCUUCCAUAGCCACAUUAUCCUAAGGGAGGAAAGAAAGAGUUAACAUUCCAUGGCCUUAUCCAAAGCCUUCUUUGACUGUUAUUGGGAAACAGUGCUUUGGGGGAUGAUACUGCUUAGUGCAAAUAAAAUGUCCUCUGGCCUGAACCUUAGAGAACCCUGAGCAUGGCAUCCACCUUGCUGUGGGAACCAACACUUUAAUUUCCUUUCCUCUGGCUCAACGCCUGUAAUCCUGGCACUUUGGGAUGCUGUGGCAGGAGGAUCAGUUGAACCCAGGAAUUCCAGCCUUGGCAAUAUAGCAAGACACCUUCUUCACAAAAAAA